AAUCCCGAAAAUUCUAAUCCAGAAAUUGAAGCCCGAAAAUAAUGCAAAUUCAGCAACAAAGUGAACAGGGUUUAAAGCUCAUUUUUUCUCUUCUCCCUCGUGCAAUUCUCAUCCUCGCGAUUCAUUCGAUCUUCCAAGAACACCAAAUUCUAUUCAAAAUUCCACGAACAUAUAACAAGAAAUCAAGGAUUUUUCAAGAAAUUGAAGAACAAAUUCUGAACUUUUUGUCGGUAACGCAAGUUCUCUGCUUGUUUGCGUAGGCAGUAGGUACCUGUUAUUGAGGUGUUGUUGGAGUUCUAACUUAUUUACAGGUUGAAAUAUUGUUCAUGUUUUGGGUGAAGCAUGAAUGUUUAAGGAUAUUAUCAUUUGGAAGUAGAUGGCAUGAGUGAAACACUUUCUGAGUUGAUGGCUUCUCUAGACCACAACAACGCUGUUAAAGCAGAUGUUCUUAUAGCACUCUUGCAGCACUAAAUUUGGUUGUCAUAGUCAAGAAAACUGGGCCUAUAUCAAGAUCCAUGUAUUCUUCAUUAAGCCUUAUCCAUGUGCUUCUCGUAUAUCCUAGAGGUACUUCUCGUGAAGGCUAGAAGUAUUUCUUGUAUAUCUUUAGAAAAAUAAUAAAAAUAAAAUAAAAAUACUUUCAAUUUUUAAAAAACUUUCUAGGGGACACCAUCACUUGUCAUAUACAUUAGAGGUACUUCCCCUUUAGAGUAGAGGUACUUCUCGUAUAACAUAGAGGUACUUCUCGUAUAACGUAGAGGUACUUCUCGUAUACAUUACAGGUACUUCUCCUCUAGAGUAGAGGUACUUCUUGCAUAGCAUAGGGGUACUUCUUAUAUAGCAUAGGGAUACUUCUUGUAUAGCA